CGUAUCAUUGUGCCUCGCCCGCGCCGGAAGCCCUCAGGGACAUCCCGCGGCACGCGGGGCGAUAAGUCCGAAAGAGGGAUGAUAUGAC
rnacentral:ncRNA from 3 species